UACGGAGGAUGCAAGCGUUAUCCGGAAUGAUUGGGCGUAAAGCGUCCGCAGGUGGCAAUGUAAGUCUGCUGUUAAAGAGUCUAGCUCAACUAGAUAAAAGCAGUGGAAACUACAUAGCUAGAGUACGUUCGGGGGCAGAGGGAAUUCCUGGUGUAGCGGUGAAAUGCGUAGAGAUCAGGAAGAACACCAGUGGCGAAGGCGCUCUGCUAGGCCGUAACUGACACUGAGGGACGAAAGCUAGGGGAGCGAACAGG
rnacentral:rRNA from 1 species